rnacentral:rRNA from 1 species
GGGAAACUUACCAGGUCCGGACUUAGUAAGGAUGUACAGAUUGAUAGCUCUUUACAGAUUCUAUGGGUGGUGGUGCAUGGCCGUUCUUAGUUGGUGGAGUGAUUUGUCUGCUUUAUUGCGUUAACGAACGAGACCUUAACCUGCUAAAUAGUGGUGCGUAUCUUCGGAUAUUCAUCUCACUUCUUAGAGGGACUUAGUAUUUCAAGUACUAGGAAGUUUGAGGCAAUAA